UGUUCCUGGAGGUCUGUGGAGUGUGAGCACAGUCCCACCUGGCAGCGUCUUUGAGAUCAGCUACUCCUGGGCAAAAGCAGACGGAGGUGUGAAGGACACAGUAGUCCCAUGUUUUCUGUAAUCUUCCCGAGGCGGGAAGGUCAAACCCAGACGGGCAGAGACGAGCUCCUGUCUCUGGGUGGUCUGCGGGGGCACGUGCAGGAGAGGCCUGGUGCUUGGGGUGCAUGUGGGGUUUAGCCACUGCAGGACCCCAGGAUGCAUGCAGGUCAGAGCUUCCAACUACCCCGCGAGUGUGAUGCUCCCCUAAGCCUCCUGAGAGCAGGGGCGGGGACUUGACUCCAGCCAACAGGGGACAAAACUAGGGUCUGAAUGGCCUGACCCCGGGCCACAGAGCUGGUGGCGAACAAAACAGCCGCUUUUCCCAGCGCAGCUUUGUUGCUGUUCAAACGCUCAGUCGUGUCCGACUCUGCGACCCCACGGACUGCAGCACGCCAGGCUUCCCUGUCCUUCACCAUCUCCCAGUUUGCAGCUUAGCGUAGUCCAAACACACAGAAAAGGGAAAUAGAUCUGUGAGGUCCAAACAGAACAUGCGGUUAACCCUCAGUGAUGGUGAGAGCCGUGUGUCUGAAAUCUACAGCAGAGCCUGGAACGCAUUCAGCAGCAGGGAGGCCAGCGUUUUCUUGAAAUUCUGCAUCCAGACGCCAAUGCCAGUUCCUGGGAUUAGCUCUCAGAAUGUCCGCCCAACAGCUGGGUUCACAGAGGUCAGAGAAUGCCCGCCUUGGCAUGUUCUCACUAGAGCACGUUGUCAGGAGCUGAGAAGUGUGUUAGCACCCCCGCCUCAGGUUCCAAAGCGCAGUGUGGGUCAGAGCAUCCUUGCACUCAUGCUUUCCCAUUUUUUUCCCAUGCUCUUCAUCAAAGAAGCCCGUAUUAAAAUGAAUUAUCAGGCCAGCACUAAUAAGAAGAUGCAACAUGAAAGUCAGCUCUCUGCCAAGAAGGACGACAAACUCUUCUUUAACGAUGAGGACAAAGAAAUACUUUAUCAGAUUAAAAGCCUAGCAGCUCUGGAAAGAAUCAUUGAAAGUCUCCGGAAAUCUUUAGGGAGUUCGCUCAUGAAAAGAAGAAAGAAGUAUAAACAUUUGUUCAGGGGAGGCAAAAGCCGCAAGCGGAGAGAGAGCCCAGACUGA
rnacentral:lncRNA from 1 species